GAAAAUUACAAGCAUAAGCUCAAAACUCAAAGGACUUGGCGGCGCUUUAGAUCCACCUAGAGGAGCCUGUCCUAUAACCGAUAACCCCCGUUAAACCUUACCUUUUUUUGCCUCCAGUUUAUAUACCGCCGUCGUCAGCUUACCCUUUAAAGGUCCCGUAGUAAGCAAUAUCGGUAAAGCCCCAGACGUCAGGUCGAGGUGUAGCAUAUAAAAAGCGAAGAGAUGGGCUACAUUUCCUACAUAGGGCCUACGGAUAAUGUUUUGAAACAAAUAUAUUGAAGUAGGAUUUAGCAGUAAGUAAAAAAUAGCGUGUUUU
rnacentral:rRNA from 1 species